UACGUAGGGGGCAAGCGUUGUCCGGAAUCAUUGGGCGUAAAGCGCGUGUAGGCGGCCUGGAAAGUCUGGUGUGAAAUCCUGCGGCUCAACCGCAGACUGUCACUGGAUACUGUCAGGCUUGAGUCCGGAAGAGGAGAGUGGAAUUCCUGGUGUAGCGGUGGAAUGCGCAGAUAUCAGGAGGAACACCGGUGGCGAAGGCGGGUCUCUGGGCAGUAACUGACGCUGAGGAGCGAAAGCGUGGGGAGCGAACAGG
rnacentral:rRNA from 1 species